AAGUCGUAACAAGGUAACCGUAGGUGAACCUGCGGUUGGAUCAUUAAUAAAUUUAUAAAGGUAAAGGGUCUUUACAGACCUUUUACUCUUUAACAAAUUUGUGAACUUUAUUAAAGUCUUUUGGGAUGAUAGCAAUGUUAUCCCAAAAACCCCCUUUAAACAAUUUUUAUAUAACAAGUCUUUAAAAACCUUUAAAUUUAAUUUAAAAAACAACUUUUGACAACGGAUCUCUUGGCUCUC
rnacentral:misc_RNA from 1 species